GACGAACGCUGGCGGCGUGCUUAACACAUGCAAGUCGAACGGAAAGGCCCUGCUUUUGUGGGGUGCUCGAGUGGCGAACGGGUGAGUAACACGUGAGUAACCUGCCCUUGACUUUGGGAUAACUUCAGGAAACUGGGGCUAAUACCGGAUAGGAGCUCCUGCUGCAUGGUGGGGGUUGGAAAGUUUCGGCGGUUGGGGAUGGAGGGGCGGCUUAUCAGCUUGUUGGUGGGGUAGUGGCUUACCAAGGCUUUGACGGGUAGCCGGCCUGAGAGGGUGACCGGCCACAUUGGGACUGAGAGACGGACCAGACUCGUACGGGAGGCAGCAGUGGGGAAUAUUGUACAAUGGGCGGAAGCCUGAUGCAGCAACGCCGCGUGCGGGAUGACGGCCUUCGGGUUGUAAACCGCUUUCGCCUGUGACGAAGCGUGAGUGACGGUAAUGGGUAAAGAAGCACCGGCUAACUACGUG
rnacentral:rRNA from 1 species